rnacentral:rRNA from 1 species
GAUGAACGCUAGCGGCAGGCCUAAUACAUGCAAGUCGUACGGCAACACAGUUGCGAGCAAUCGCAACCGGUGGCGAGUGGCGCACGGGUGAGUAACGCGUAUGUAACCUACCCUUCUCCGGGACAUAACUCCGCGAAAGCGGUGCUAAUAUCCCAUACCAACUCAUCAAGACAUCUUCUUGAGUUGAAAGCAGCAAUGCGGUGAAGGAUGGGCAUGCGUCCCAUUAGCUGGUUGGUGAGGUAAUGGCCCACCAAGGCUACGAUGGGUAGGGUUCUGAGAGGAAAGCCCCCCACACUGGUACUGAGACACGGACCAGACUCCUACGGGAGGCAGCAGUAAGGAAUAUUGGGCAAUGGUCGAAAGACUGACCCAGCCAUGCCGCGUGCAGGAUGAAGGCCCUAUGGGUUGUAAAGCUCUUUCGCAAGGGAAGAAACUUAUCCUCUAACAUAGGAUGAGGUUGACGGUACCUUGAUAAGAAGCACCGGCUAA